UACAGCCAUAUCACAUUGAAACACCAGUUCUUAUAUAUGAUCACCAAAGUUAAGCAUCAUCGAGCAUUGUCAGUACCUAGAUGGGUGACUACUUGGGAAUACCAGGUGCUGUAAU